UUUCCUUCGGGACUGAUUAUUUUGUGACUGAGUGGCGGACGGGUGAGUAACGCGUGGGUAACCUGCCUUGUACAGGGGGAUAACAGUUGGAAACGGCUGCUAAUACCGCAUAAGCGCACGGCAUCGCAUGAUGCAGUGUGAAAAACUCCGGUGGUAUAAGAUGGACCCGCGUUGGAUUAGCUAGUUGGUGAGGUAACGGCCCACCAAGGCGACGAUCCAUAGCCGACCUGAGAGGGUGACCGGCCACAUUGGGACUGAGACACGGCCCAAACUCCUACGGGAGGCAGCAGUGGGGAAUAUUGCACAAUGGGCGAAAGCCUGAUGCAGCGACGCCGCGUGAGCGAAGAAGUAUUUCGGUAUGUAAAGCUCUAUCAGCAGGGAAGAUAAUGACGGUACCUGACUAAGAAGCACCGGCUAAAUACGUGCCAGCAGCCGCGGUAAUACGUAUGGUGCAGGCGUUAUCCGGAUUUACUGGGUGUAAAGGGAGCGCAGGCAGUGCGGCAAGUCUGAUGUGAAAGCCCGGGGCUCAACCCCGGUACUGCAUUGGAAACUGUCGUACUAGAGUGUCGGAGGGGUAAGCGGAAUUCCUAGUGUAGCGGUGAAAUGCGUAGAUAUUAGGAGGAACACCAGUGGC
rnacentral:rRNA from 1 species